GACGAACGUUGGCGGCGUGCUUAAUACAUGCAAGUCAACUGAAGCAGUGGUAGCAAUAUCGCUGUGGAGGUGGCGCACGGGUGAGUAACACGUAGGUAAUCUGCCUUCAGGUCUGGCAUAACUCCGUGAAACCUGGGCUAAUAGCAGAUGAUGCAGCGGCUCGACAUCGAGACAGUUGUUAAAGCUAUGGCGCCUGAAGAUGAGCCUGCGUCUGAUUAGCUAGUUGGCGGGGUAACGGCCCACCAAGGCAACGAUCAGUAGCUGGUCUGAGAGGAUGAUCAGCCACACUGGAACUGAGACACGGUCCAGACUCCUACGGGAGGCAGCAGUAAGGAAUAUUGCUCAAUGGGAGAAAUCCUGAAGCAGCAACGCCGCGUGAGGGACGAAGGGCUUUUGCUUGUAAACCUCUGUAGUGAGAGAAAAAAAUCCCAAUCUUUGGGACAUGAUGGUAUCUCAAAAGUAAGCCCCGGCUAACUACGUG
rnacentral:rRNA from 1 species